GUGAUGGCAAAGCAUUAAGGAGGAGUAACCGGCUGCCUGUCAGAUCAGACCUGUCACAGAAUAAAUAUCACCGCCUGCUGCGACGCCCCCCGCGCUCCUCAAACUUGGCGAACUGGUAAUCCGUGUCUGGAAAUGCAGAUCUUUGAUUUUAAAGGCGGGGUGACCCCGGGGAGAACCUCUCCCGCCUCCCGAAGCCCGCAGGUGCAGUGAGGCGUGCGCACGGGCGCUGGCGCCCCUGAAGCCCGCUUGACCCCGGGGGAAGGAGUCGGGGAGCCCAGCGGGGUCUUGCUGCUGCGCACCGGCGUCGGCGGCUCCUCUCCCGCAGUAGCAGAUGAUGGUGGCUGCCGGCGUGCUGGGCUGUGUCUGUGCGUCGCCGCGGAAAUCGGCGCCUGGCGCUGUACCCUGAGCCCUUGCAGGUCCGUCGCAGCUCGAGCCUUGAAGAGGACAGAACCGGCGCCCGGGGUACCCGAGGGUCGCGCGGUGUUGGCUUAUCAUGGCGGAUCGGACAGCUCCCAGAUGCCAGCUCCGGCUGGAGUGGGUGUACGGGUACCGGGGUCACCAGUGCCGCAACAACCUGUACUACACCGCCAGCAAGGAGGUGGUCUACUUUGUAGCUGGGGUAGGGGUGGUGUACAACACCCGAGAGCACAGCCAAAAAUUUUUCCUGGGACACAACGACGACAUUAUCAGACAAAGCCCCCUGCCUUUCUUCUCUGAUUUGAGAAUGGCUGUGCCUGGGGCAUCCUUACUCAAUUCUAUCCUAUGGAUCCUGCAGAUUCUGCUUCCCUAAUUGUGUGGCUGAUUAUUAAAGGCACAGGUGCAAAUGAUUAA
rnacentral:lncRNA from 1 species